rnacentral:lncRNA from 1 species
AAGAUUCAUCCAAAUAAAUGAAGCAGAAUCCCGUCAAAAACUGACGUCUUUCACCCAUGCUUUCAGAAAACGUGGCACGCCGUUGGUGCUGCCACCUCUACACCUAAAUUUACGUGUCCAAACACCCCCAUCUUCCUUUAUCUCAGUCGUUUCGUCUAUAUAUAAAUUAUAAAAUUAAGUUGUUAGUUUCUCACUAACCAAAAUUACAGCUAUAAUCAUGGCGAAAACUUCAUUACCAGUAUUUCUGACACUCACCCUUGUUUCUGCCCCAGAGGUGUGCUGGUUCGAAUCCAGCUCGUGACAAGACCUUUUUGGCCGCUCCUGUUAAGGGUUUUGGAGGUGGUUCAUUGGGAGGAAGAACGAAGGUCGAAGAUGUGGAAAGGGACAAAGAGGUUCAAGAAAUGGGGGAAUACGCGGUGGAUGAG